rnacentral:rRNA from 1 species
UGGGGAAUAUUGCACAAUGGGGGAAACCCUGAUGCAGCGACGCCGCGUGAGCGAUGAAGUAUUUGGUAUGUAAAGCUCUAUCAGCAGGGAAGAAAAUGACGGUACCUGACUAAGAAGCCCCGGCUAACUACGUGCC